GCGGUAACAUGGGAGCUUGCUCCUGAUGACGAGCGGCGGACGGGUGAGUAACGCGUAGGAAUCUACCCAGUAGUGGGGGAUAGCUUGGGGAAACUCAAAUUAAUACCGCAUAUGCCCUACGGGGUAAAGGCCGGGAUCUUCGGACCGGUCGCUAUUGGAUGAGCCUGCGUAGGAUUAGCUAGUUGGUGGGGUAAAGGCCUACCAAGGCGACGAUCCUUAACUGGUCUGAGAGGAUGAUCAGUCACACCGGAACUGAGACACGGUCCGGACUCCUACGGGAGGCAGCAGUGGGGAAUAUUGGACAAUGGGCGAAAGCCUGAUCCAGCCAUGCCGCGUGUGUGAAGAAGGCCUUCGGGUUGUAAAGCACUUUCAGCGGGGAGGAAGGGGUUGUUGUUAAUAGCAACAAUCUUUGACGUUACCCACAGAAGAAGCACCGGCUAACUCCGUGCCAGCAGCCGCGGUAAUACGGAGGGUACAAGCGUUAAUCGGAAUUACUGGGCGUAAAGCGUACGUAGGUGGUUUGUUAAGC
rnacentral:rRNA from 1 species